CCUACGGGAGGCAGCAGUGGGGGAUAUUGCACAAUGGGGGAAACCCUGAUGCAGCGACGCCGCGUGUGGGAAGACGGUCCUCUGGAUUGUAAACCACUGUCCCCAGGGACGAAGAUGACGGUACCUGGGGAUGAAGCUCCGGCUAACUACGUGCCAGCAGCCGCGGUAAUACGUAGGGAGCGAGCGUUGUCCGGAAUUACUGGGUGUACAGGGAGCGUAGGCGGGACUGCAAGUUGGGUGUCAAAUCUACCGGCUCAACCGGUAGCCGCACUCAAAACUGCAGUUCUUGAGUGAAGUAGAGGCAGGCGGAAUUCCUAGUGUAGCGGUGAAAUGCGUAGAUAUUAGGAGGAACACCAGUGGCGAAGGCGGCCUGCUGGGCUUUGACUGACGCUGAGGCUCGAAAGUGUGGGGAGCAAACAGGAUUAGAUACCCCAGUAGUC
rnacentral:rRNA from 1 species